AACCAGUGCGUGUGAGCCUACGGGGGAUUCCUUAUUAAAACCACCACAGGCGUUUCAUUUCUCUGCCAUCCUAAGACUCCAGUCUUAUGACCAUGAUGGUUAUUUAUAGCUUUCCGCUACACUAAACUUUGAUUCGUGUCCAACCAAGGGGAAGGUCUAUAUAUCAUAGCAGUGUUGCUUAUGUGGACAGUGAAGAAAAGAAAACAAUAAAAAAUAACCAAGACAAAUGCAGUUCGAGUAGGGCACAUUUCCUUUUUACAAGUAAAUAAAAAGCACUAUAAACCACAACGGUCCCCAACAUCAUCCCUCUUCAGAUAAUGGUGCCUGAAUCUCCUCACGACAUGAAUAACAUCAGAGCUGUGCUUCAGAACCGGGCUAUACAAUGACAACAAGGGUAAUUGUGACAUGUCCUGAAACUCACCCUGGCAACAGACACUCACCAACUCUGUAUAAAUGUUCCCCUUAUACUUCAUGACUUGUUCACCAACAGAAAGGCUACACUGGCAUUUCUACGCCCCGGAAAUAACUACAAAGGUCAUUGUGACCAAAAUGUAGGGAGCUUCCUCUUAUUCAGAGGACAUCUGGCCUUCACCCUUUCCGUCUUGGACCCACACCGCAGUGCAACAAGAUAUGUGCUGAGUAUCAGGCUGCAACAUGCACAAAAAGAGCCCAGAUUCCCAUAGGAAACAGCUUUCAGGACGGGCGCUACAUCUGUGCUUGCAUUGGCUUAAUCAACCUCUUUAGUGGCGGGACCUGAAAAAGCACCCUGAGCAGGAAGAGCCGCCACCCCCAUCCUUCAGGCAUUUUCCUAGCAAAGCUCCCAUAUUCAGGACAAUGUAGACUCUUUUUUUUUUGUCUUUUUGUUUAUUUAUUUACAUCCCAAAUGCUCCCCGUUCCCAGUCCCCCCUCACGGAGACCCUGUCCCUAUACUCCCUCUCCUUCUCCCCUCUGGAUAACCCCCUACCCCAGUGCAUUAAGUCUCUGCCAGGGUAGGCGCAUCCUUAGAGCUGUAGGUUUAAUCCAGUACUUUGUGCUGUUGUUUAAAUUCUUUCUUGAAAAUCGCUUUUGAUUUGGAUUGCGGUGCUCAAUGACUUAUCACAUAAAAAAGGGGGGACAAAGUGGUCCUCCUCUCUAUCCUCUCAUCCUCAGAGAGACACCGAGGAUGUCAUUGGCAUCAGUAUUGAUGGUGGCUUCACUCCUAAGCCACAUCACAGAGUACUGGAGGUGUGUAACAAGCAGGCUGGUGUGGUUGGUCAUGGCCCAGUCACCAUCACAUCGCUGCAUAAGCACAGAAAGCCAAUUGUCAGAGUAGGUAUCUUCCUGGUGGAGAUGGCAAUGCUGUAGCUACUGAAGACAGUGAUGACUCCAUCAGCAAUUUCAACACCAAGGGAAAGAAAUGAGAUAAGGUUUGAGUUUGCAAUCUUGGUCCUUACCUACUGAUGGCAUUUUGAGAAAUACUGGCAAGUUGGGGCAGAGAGACACAGCUUAAAGGGUCACCAGGCAGCAGUGAGUCCUCAGAAUACUUUGUCCUAGCCACUUCCUGCCUCUCCCUCUGCUUCCUGUCCCAUGAGAUGAGCUGGUUUGCUCUCUGGUACCCUAUCGGCCAUGAUGUUCAGCCCCACCUAAGGCCAUAGCAACAGAACCAGUCAACCAUUGAAUGAAACCUCUGUAACCUUUCUAAAUCCUUCCACAUUGCUUUCAUCACAACGUUGUAAUGAUGAAAAGUCUCGUUGACAUGGGGAGCAAGUAAACAGUGAACAUUUUUGGAUUUAUCUCCAGGAAGAAUGGCUGCCUGGGCAGCUGUAUUGUAAGAACUGUCUCUCCAGGAAAGGUGCUUUCAUUCAAUCCUUUUCCACUGAAGAAGGCUUGAAGAAGCUUCUGGAUCUUAUGGGUACAAGUAGGACUGCUGCUGCCAGAGAAAGCCAGAGAACUCCAUGAGGACCUAGCAUCACGCCUUACUGGAUGACCAAGAAACUCAUCUGAGAUCACUGCUCCAAAAGGUGUGCAAACCAACCAUGCCAAAGUCCCCUCUGCUAUGUCUUCUAAUCCAAUAUAGAGAUCGAACAGCCCCAUGCUGGCCCACACUGACGGCUUCUGUUGGCCACUUUCAUGGAAUUGUGUCCAUACUCUUGGCUCAGCUAACUGAAAUCCACUUCUGCAUUAACCAUA